AGGGGGACAACAGUUGGAAACGACUGCUAAUACCGCAUACGAUCUGACCUCGGCAUCGAGGAUGGAUGAAAGGUGGCCUCUAUUUAUAAGCUAUCACUGAAGGAGGGGAUUGCGUCUGAUUAGCUAGUUGGAGGGGUAACGGCCCACCAAGGCGAUGAUCAGUAGCCGGUCUGAGAGGAUGAACGGCCACAUUGGGACUGAGACACGGCCCAG
rnacentral:rRNA from 1 species